GGGGCGGCGGCCCAGGACCCCCAAAUUUACAAUAAUAUUCCUAUCUUUCUUAUAUCUUCUCUUCGUCCCAUCUCUUCUUUCCUGUAUUAACUCAGUUGACAACGGAGCUUAGAAAUCUAGCUUUGACGUUAGAGAGGGAGACAGUAAUGUGACGUAUUUAGCAGGCAUAUGAAUAUAUAAGCAGACAAAGAGAGCGCUAUUGACGUAGGAGAAUAAUACAUAUACCAGAUAAGUGGCGGGCAUUCCACAUCAAGUUUUGUACUAAGUUCCUCUUUACCAUUUACGUGUGAACACAACUUAAUGUACAUUAGUGGAGAUCAGGACUAACGACUAUUAAAAUGCGCACACGGAAAGGCUUGUUGUCAAAAGCAAAUCUCUUCUUGCCAAUGUUUCUAUAACAAUGACCACCAUCAUAUCUUCCCUAUAUAUAUUUACUUUUAUUCUUAAAAAUUAAUUAACAAAUAUACCUACUAGAAAAUAGCAAAAGGCAUAUUCUCAAGUACUACCUGUAAGAUGAGUUGUUUGAACUUUUUUUUUAACAUUGAGGUUAAGAUUUCAUAGUAUAUCAAGCGAGUAUAUUGGCAAGGAAGAACCAAAAUUUAUUCACAGAAGACUAUGAAUAAGUUUCAAUAAUGUCUAGGGGAUUUAUGCUUACUUUUUCUCGGCCAACCAGGAUAGUACCUUUUUGCACAUAGGCAGGUACCUUGUUGGAAGAGGCAUAGUGACAUUAUUUUUGUGUUUUAGCUCAUUUAUUUCUUACGACUCAAAGAUGUAUUUUGCUUAAUAAAGCCUUAUUUCAAG
rnacentral:lncRNA from 1 species